GUGAAAUAACAACAUUAAAGCUUACAGUUCUUUAGAUGCUGUAUAAUUUUGAAGAAACAAUGAUAAGAGACCUAUUGAUAGUUCAGAAUUUUGGUAUUUUGUGCUGUGAAACUAACUGAAUGCUGAAAAGUAGUUUAAAUGAGUUAUCAGCACUGUGUUUCUGUUAAAUUUUAGUUCCUCGUUGUUUAGUGGUGCAUUUUGUUGCAACAGACUCUUGUUCCUUUUUGUUUGGCAC
rnacentral:misc_RNA from 1 species